CAGAAAAAAAGAACCGGCAGUGUUCCAUUCUCGUGACAUCAUCGUGUUCUAGACAGAAUGAAGUUUGACAUCAUACGGAAUGUUCUGUAGAAUUAAGACCUCUUGACAAACUCCAGUUCGUUACAACCUGACCUCCUACAGAGAAACAUCUCCCAGUGGACACACAGUGACAACUUACCUAAAGUAGAACACAACUCCAACAAGAGAAAGUAUACAACUACCGUAUAAAAAAACUCCAGCACCGGUACGAUAUCUUUGCCGACAUGGAGACAAACGACAACUCGACACAUGAGUCACGUGGACAGGUGCAGUGUGAGGACUCUGGCCAGCAACAAGAUCUGCUGAACCACCAGCUUGCUCUCAGCAGAAUCCUGCAACAAGCUCUUCUGGACUCCAAAAAGGAAAAGAAGAAGCUGGCUGUAGAAAAUGCUGCUUUGAGGAGGCAUACAGCCAGCAAUGAGCUCAGCUGGGAGCAAGACAGAAUGAAGCUGCUGGAUGAAAAGGACUCUUUAGUGUCAACUCUGUUUAUGGCCAGAAAUGACAUGGAUAACCUGGUGAAGGAUCUGGAGUCCGCAAGAGCCAGUCAAAAACAGUUUCACACUCAGAGCAAGGAGAUGGAAAGAAACAUGGAAGAAAAAAACGGAGGAAGUCUGCUCCUUGAAGGAAAGUCUGCACUUCCAGAAGAUGGAGACCGAGAAAGCUGAACAAUUCUGCAAGGCAGAGUGCGAUCAGCUCAAUCAGAUGAAACUUUCCUUUGAAAAAACUGUGAUUCAGUUAAAUGAAGAGUGGGAAAGCCGGUGGCUUGUAAGACAGAAGGAGGUAGCUGCUGAGCUGGAAACUCUGCAGCGGGACUGUGAGAAGAAGACGAGCCAGGUCAUCCAGGAGAAGGAUGACGUCAUCACCCGUGUUAGAAAGGAAAUGAUGGCACUGGAAGGGGGAAAUCUGGACAGCUUGGCCAAGGUGAGCGCAAUAAAGAUGGAGAUCCGCCAGAGCGAGACAGAGUGGCAAACAAAACACAAAGUUCUGGAGGAUCGUCUCCGGUGUGGGCUGGCAGCAAAGGAGGAGAUCUUUAAGAAAACGCAGGAGCUGCAGAAGCAGAGCAGAGAGGUGGAGGCGAAGUGGCUCAACAAGGAGAGCAAGAUGGAGGAGGAGAAGCAGCUCCUGAUCCAACUAAAUAUUAAGCUUCAGGAGCUCGCCUUCUUCUAACCCCCUCCUAACAUCCCAACUCCGCCAACCUUCUCACCUCCACCCCCCUCACCUCCACCCCCUCACCUCCAACCCCCACACUCCCAUCAUCCAGCCCUCCUUCUCUUGUGGGUCAGUGUUUGGCACCGCAGCCUCACAGAAACAAGCUGCUGCUUCAGUUUGCAUGUUCUCCCAGUGUCUCUAAACACAUGCGCAUAUAGCAAA
rnacentral:lncRNA from 1 species